rnacentral:rRNA from 1 species
GAUGAACGCUAGCGGGAGGCCUAACACAUGCAAGCCGAGCGGUAGAGUUUCUUCGGAAACUUGAGAGCGGCGCACGGGUGCGUAACACGUGUGCAACCUACCUUUAUCUGGGGGAUAGCCUUUCGAAAGGAAGAUUAAUACCCCAUAAUAUAAUGAUUGGCAUCAAUUAUUAUUGAAAACUCCGGUGGAUAGAGAUGGGCACGCGCAAGAUUAGAUAGUUGGUGAGGUAACGGCUCACCAAGUCAAUGAUCUUUAGGGGUCCUGAGAGGGAGAUCCCCCACACUGGUACUGAGACACGGACCAGACUCCUACGGGAGGCAGCAGUGAGGAAUAGUGGACAAUGGGUGAGAGCCUGAUCCAGCCAUCCCGCGUGAAGGAUGACGGUCCUAUGGAUUGUAAACUUCUUUUGUACAGGGAUAAACCUACCCUCGUGAGGGUAGCUGAAGGUACUGUACGAAUAAGCACCGGCUAACUCCGUG